GACCUGCUAAUUCUUGUCACUAAAGUUAAACCCCUUAGACCUCUCACUUUUAAAGGAUACUAGACAAUC
rnacentral:tRNA from 1 species